rnacentral:pre_miRNA from 1 species
AUAUGCUGACCUGGGGAUCUCAUUAAAAUGUGUGUUCUGAUUCAGUAGUUCUGGAGUAGGGACUAAAAAUGUGCAUUUCUUACAAGCUCCCAGGUAAUGCUGGG